rnacentral:rRNA from 1 species
UACGUAGGGUGCGAGCGUUGUCCGGAAUUAUUGGCGUAAAGAGCUUGUAGGCGGUUUGUCGCGUCUGCUGUGAAAAUCCGGGCUCAACCCCGGACUUGCAGUGGGUACGGGCAGACUAGAGUGUGGUAGGGGAGACUGGAAUUCCUGGUGUAGCGGUGAAAUGCGCAGAUAUCAGGAGGAACACCGAUGGCGAAGGCAGGUCUCUGGGCCACUACUGACGCUGAGAAGCGAAAGCAUGGGGAGCGAACAGGA